rnacentral:lncRNA from 1 species
AUUGGCCCAAAUCCAAUAGCCAAGAAGUCACAAAAUCAAGAUUCACAACAGUUCCCUUUGGGUCUGAUCCUAGAGUUGUACCCUUCCCCAUUCCAUGGCAUUAGGGAGGCGGAAGGGAACUCCCUUUCUGCUUCCUGGAAUCCAGGCUGGCUUGGUGACUUGCCGACCACAGAACGCUGUGGAAGGGACAUUCUGGGGCUUCCCAUCUCCAACAUAAGAAGGCAGGACUUGCUUCUGUGAGGUACUGAGCCACCCGUCCCUGGAGGAAAGCAAGAACAGAGCAGAUCAGAGCCCAGGCAGACAUCUUGGAUGAUGGGGUACAUCUUGCCAUCCAGAGGCAAUGCUGGAGCGGGCAGUUGUCUGCGGGGAGGCCCUGGCUCACUCUGGGCCAAAUAACAGGACUGAUUGCAGCCUGCGAUGAAACAUCCUGUUUCUCCCAACCAGAAACAGGUAGAGGAGCUGCUUUAGG